UACAGAGGUCUCAAGCGUUGUUCGGAUUCAUUGGGCGUAAAGGGCGCGUAGGCGGCUUGUCAAGUCACUUGUGAAAUCUCUGGGCUUAACCCAGAACGGCCAAGUGAAACUGACAUGCUAGAGUGCAGAAGGGGCAAUCGGAAUUCUUGGUGUAGCGGUGAAAUGCGUAGAUAUCAAGAGGAACACCUGAGGUGAAGACGGGUUGCUGGGCUGACACUGACGCUGAGGCGCGAAAGCGUGGGGAGCAAACAGG
rnacentral:rRNA from 1 species